rnacentral:rRNA from 1 species
UACAGAGGGUGCGAGCGUUGUUCGGAAUUAUUGGGCGUAAAGGGCGCGUAGGCGGUGCGGUAAGUCACCUGUGAAAUCUCCUGGCUCAACUGGGAGCUUGCAGGCGAAACUGCCGUGCUGGAGUGUGGGAGAGGUGAGUGGAAUUCCCGGUGUAGCGGUGAAAUGCGUAGAUACCGGGAGGAACACCUGUGGCGAAAGCGGCUCACUGGACCACAACUGACGCUGAGGCGCGAAAGCUAGGGGAGCAAACAGG